rnacentral:rRNA from 1 species
GAUGAAUGCUGGCGGCGUGCCUAACACAUGCAAGUCGAGCGGCAGCGCGGUCUUCGGACUGGCGGCGAGCGGCGGACGGCUGAGUAACGCGUGGGAACAUACCCCAAAGUGAGGAAUAACUGCCCGAAAGGGUGGCUAAUGCCGCAUAUGGUCUCCGGAUUAAAGGAUUUAUCCGCUUUAGGAAUGGCCUGCGUAAGAUUAGAUAGUUGGUGAGGUAAUGGCUCACCAAGUCGACGAUCUUUAACUGGUCUUAGAGGAUGAUCAGUCAGACUGGAACUGAGACACGGUCCAGACUCCUACGGGAGGCAGCAGUGAGGAAUCUUCCACAAUGGGCGAAAGCCUGAUGGAGCAACGCCGCGUGCAGGAUGAAGGCCUUCGGGUCGUAAACUGCUUUUAUAAGUGAAGAAUAUGACGGUAACUUAUGAAUAAGCACCGGCUAACUACGUGCCAGCCGCCGCAGUA